AUUGAACGCUGGCGGAAUGCUUUACACAUGCAAGUCGAACGGCAGCACGGGUGCUUGCACCUGGUGGCGAGUGGCGAACGGGUGAGUAAUAUAUCGGAACGUAUCCAAUAAUGGGGGAUAACUAAUCGAAAGGUUGGCUAAUACCGCAUACGCCCUACGGGGGAAAGCUAGGGACCUUCGGGCCUGGCGUUAAUGGAGGGGCCGAUAUCGGAUUAGCCAGUUGGUGGGGUAAUGGCCUACCAAGGCGACGAUCAGUAGCUGGUCUGAGAGGACGACCAGCCACACUGGAACUGAGACACGGUCCAGACUCCUACGGGAGGCAGCAGUGGGGAAUUUUGGACAAUGGGCGCAAGCCUGAUCCAGCCAUUCCGCGUGAGUGAAGAAGGCCUUCGGGUUGUAAAGCUCUUUCGCAAGGGAAGAAAACUUAUCCUCUAACAUAGGAUGAGGUUGACGGUACCUUGAUAAGAAGCACCGGCUAACUACGUGCCAGCAGCCGCGGUAACAC
rnacentral:rRNA from 1 species